rnacentral:rRNA from 1 species
GACGAACGCUGGCGGCGUGCUUAACACAUGCAAGUCGAACGGAAAGGCCCUGCUUUUGUGGGGUGCUCGAGUGGCGAACAGGUGAGUAACACGUGAGUAACCUGCCCUUGACUUUGGGAUAACUUCAGGAAACUGGGGCUAAUACCGGAUAGGAGCUCCUGCUGCAUGGUGGGGGUUGGAAAGUUUCGGCGGUUGGGGAUGGACUCGCGGCUUAUCCGCUUGUUGGUGGGGUAGGGGCUUACCAAGGCUUUGACGGGUAGCCGGCCUGAGAGGGUGACCGGCCACAUUGGGACUGAGAUACGGCCCAGACUCCUACGGGAGGCAGCAGGGGGGAAUAUUGCACAAUGGGCGGAAGUCUGAUGCAGCAACGCCGCGUGCGGGAUGACGGGCUUCGGGUUGUAAACCGCUUUGGCCUGUGACGAAGCGUGAGUGACGGUAAUGGGUAAAGAAGCACCGGCUAACUACGUG